UUGUAGGCUUUGCCUGCUAUCUCUUACCCAUGUCUUUUAAGUACCUUACGUUUCCUCGGCGGGUCCGCCCGCCGAUUGGACAAUUUAAACCAUUUGCAGUUGCAAUCAGCGUCUGAAAAAACUUAAUAGUUACAACUUUCAACAACGGAUCUCUUGGUUCUGGCAUCGAUGAAGAACGCAGCGAAAUGCGAUAAGUAGUGUGAAUUGCAGAAUUCAGUGAAUCAUCGAAUCUUUGAACGCACAUUGCGCCCCUUGGUAUUCCAUGGGGCAUGCCUGUUCGAGCGUCAUUUGUACCUUCAAGCUCUGCUUGGUGUUGGGUGUUUGUCUCGCCUCUGCGUGUAGACUCGCCUCAAAACAAUUGGCAGCCGGCGUAUUGAUUUCGGAGCGCAGUACAUCUCGCGCUUUGCACUCAUAACGACGACGUCCAAAAGUACAUUUUUACACUCUUGACCUCG
rnacentral:rRNA from 1 species